UGGGUGUCUUUGGACUGGAGCCAAUAUACACACACACAUAUAUCUCUGCAAUAAGCUAUCCUCCACAUUGUUUGCAUGAAAAUGAGGCCUUUGGCGACAGCUCAUUAUUAUUUCCAUUCAUAAAGGGAUGUAAUUCAUAGUGUUCCGUUUCACAGUGGUAAAACCACUGAAUUAAAGGGCUUGCAUUUGCAUUUUACAGACCUUUGCAGAGAGGAUUUGCAAUAGCCUAAAUUAAGACAUCGUAUUCAUGCCUUAAGUGGGGGAAGAUCAGACAAUUCACAAGGGGCAAGGCCCACACAGAGUAUGUUUUAUUUAUGUGCUAUCAGGCAUGCUGAGCAGAAGAGAUGAUUUCUGCCCAACCCCGGCUUUGCACUACUAGGGCAGCCCAUUUUGGUGCUGCAAGGGAGUGGUGAGAAACAAACACUACAAGGUAAAAAGAUGAGGAAAUUUGUGAUGCAACUGAAUGUUGCAGAUCGGAGUUUGGUUCUAGCUACCCACCUCAGAGGCGGUCUUAGGGUGGCAUGCCCAGUGCACAUUGAAACAAUGCCAUAGAAUGGAGCCGGAGAGGCAAGUGGCGCAGAAUUUUAGCAUCACACAAGGUGCCACUGAAAUUUGAGAGCCCAAAGUCCACCACUGCCUACCUCUGGAAUGGAUGGCAAGGAUGCAUCCUUGGCUUCCAGUCUUUCAUACUUUUAAUUUUGGACUUAAUUAGUUAUAUGAGCAGAUUUGCAAUUGGGGAACUCAAAAUGCAAUCUUCCCUGGUUUAAAAACAAACAAUCCUUGUUCCUGUGUUUUACUGCCGUGCCCUGCCCUUUGCACUGCUGAACAGCAUGUUGACACCUGAUGGAAGGGGUUUUGUGCAUUCUUAGAUUGCAUGAAUGUGCUUGCACAACAUUCACACAAAGCAGAAGGUGGGUUGGUGAGAUACACAAGUACCACAUACCCUUUUGUUCCAGCCCAGUCAUGUUCUGGGCUCAUUCAUGUUCUGGGCUCAUAAUGAUAAGAUCAUUAGAGAACUUUGUUAUGGAACAGCAUGCAAAUGUCACAUAUACGUGGAUUUUAAAAAAGAAUCCUCCUUGAUCAGAUGAAAGGUUCAUCUAGUCCAGCAGCCCAGUUCCUACAGAUUACCCAGAUUACCCCAGAAAGUCUACAAACAGGAUGGAAGGCUUCUUUGCUGUUACUCCUGAGCAUCAACCAUUACAACCAUUAGCCUACAGACUGAUUACAUUGUAGGAUUAUUGUUGGGAGGGUUUUGCCCUGAUAAGGAAAGACUGCUGGAAUUCUCUGAGGUUCCUAAAGGAUUAUUGCUUGCUUCAGAGUUCGCAUACACUUUCAAACACAUUUUAGACGCUACUGCUCAAGGGUUGUGCCCUCUUUCUCCUCCUCCUCCCUGUUCUGCUUUAAUUUUGAUCUUAUAAUCCUAGGCAAAGCAAGUUCUCACUGUUUUUCUGGCACAAUAUUUCAGUAUUGCCUUAAGUAGAGGUUUUAUCUUUAUAAAGAAGGAGUUGUCUAAGUAAAAGCUGGUGAGUGAAAAGGAAGAAUGUACAUGAGUUUAACGAUGAUUUAUUACUGAAAUAUAAUGAAACAGCAGGAAGGGCAAACCUAACUUACACUCCUCAUUUAAAUCAUUCAAAUGCUGCCUCUAUUUGACUGUCUAGAGUGGAGAAGCCUGAGGCAAUUGUCACUUCUACCACACCCAAACACGACCUAGCUGGCAAAAAGUGUGUUACAUGGAAAGUACAACCAUCCCACCCUUUUUUUAAGCAGUUGGAGCUAAUGUAUGCUGCAUGUAUAUUAAGGGAAGCAUGCUUGCUGUUUUCUCACCUCAGGCAAUGGAAAGUUAGUUCCUCUGAAAUUGAAGGCAUAACUUUACUUUUGUUUUCUGUGGAAAUCAAUUUUCUAGCUCAAAAAAUGUUUAAAUCAUUAUUAUGGGCUUGUAGCCAAUGCUGGGAUGGACGAAGCUGUCAAUUCUGUUACUCUCAAUUUCUCUUUUUUCACUCCUAUAUGCAUUGUUAAGCACACCUUUCCAAUAAUACACACAUAUACACAUCAUCACACACAUUAUUUGGUUGGAGAAGUGCAUUGCAUAAUUCAGAGAAGUGUGAAUUUCAAAGGAUAGCUGAGUUUUCAGGCUGCAUAUCCUUCCAUGAAGUGUGAAUUGCGUAGAGUCACAUGUAAAUGCCAAGUGAACUGGAUUUCUCCCCCAUACCUAAGACAGGUGUCCACUCACAUAACAGAACUUCCUCCUUCAUCUCCUUCCCUGCACCCACCCCCCAAUCUGUUCCAAAUGGUCCCUCAACCCUCUGGAGUAGAUUUCGGGGGUGCAUAGAGAAGGAAAGGAAGAGGAAGUUCUACUCUUCUUCUUUUAAAAAAUAAUAAUAAUAUUUAUUAAUUUUCCAACCGUUUAAACACAACAAAACACUAACGCAUAAGACUAACAAAAUAAGACUAACAAAACAAGACACAAACCAUUUAAAACACAGAACAAUUUCAAUAUCUUAUCUUUCAUUCCCUUAUUUCCACGACCUCCUCACACCUCCCUUUUUGUGUUCCACUUCUAUUAAUUGUUUCAGCAAUUCCUUUCCAUCUUCCUCUGUUUUCUAUCCUAUAAUUAUCUUAACACAUUCUAACCUUAUUUUUCCCUUUAAUACUCUAUUAAUCUAUUUAUACUUGAUUCCUUAUAGCAUUUCUACUAAAGCCAUAUAACUUCAUUCCAACAUUUUUCUAACAUUCAUUAUUUUUACAGUAUUUCUAUAAAUAGUCUUAAACUUUUUCCAGUCUUCUUCCACCGACUCUUCUCCCUGGUCUCAGAUUUCUGCCAGUCGUUUCCGCCUAUUCCAUAUAGUCCAUCAGCUUCAUCUGCCAUUCUUCCCGAGUAGAUAAAUCUUGUGUCUUCCAAUACUUCACAAUGAGUAUUCUUGCUGCUAUUGUUGCAUACGUGAAAAAAGUUCUAUCCUUCUUUAACACCAAUUGGCUGACCAUGCCCAGGAGAAAGACCUCUGGUUUCUUCAAAAGGGUAUAUUUAAAUACCUUUUUCAUUUCGUUAUGAAUCAUCUCCCAGAGUGUCUUAAUCCUUGGGCAUGUCCACCAAAGGUGAACUCUAAUCCUCAAAUUCGUCUGUUUUUCUUUAAGUUCAGUCAUAGCAAGCGUCAACUUAUGUUCAUCAAAUUGCCUCUGUAGGGCUGGGGCUUUCUUUCUCUUUCUCUUUCUCUCCAGUUGUGUUACUUUACAUUCAGCAACAACGGCUUUUUCCCUGGCUUCCUGCGCAGUUUGCCGUAUCAAAGUAGGUUCCUGUAUCAAUUUCUGGGUGGUUUCUGUAUUAGUAUUAUUUAUACUUUCUGUAUUUAAGUUAAUUUUAGUAAUUGAAACAUCCACUUUCGCAUUUAUCGUGUCCAUUUUCCUGUUAAGCUGAUCCAGUGAGUCAUUUAUCUUAUAUAAUGCAGCCACUAAAGCCUCUUCUGUCGACAUUCCUCUUGGUUUUAGAUAUACUGGUACAAAGGCAACGACAGAAGGAGCAGGGGGGCCUGAUGAUGGACCUCUCCUGGAUUGUUGCCAAGUCCUCCCAGACCUUAAUGUUUUGUCAGCAGUUGACUGGUCUGUUUUUCCUCUUCCAUUUACCAUAACACUUAAAAGAUUCAAGGUCAGUCCCAGAGUCUCACGGUUUUUAACUUGCAGCUGGAAAUUCCCCUAGCCCAGCUCUUAUAAAGCAACCGGUUUCAAAGGCUUCCACUAGGGGGAAACAGUUUCUAUUUGUAAUAGUCAAUAGUAUCCUCUUUUAAGAAAUCCAAAAUUAGUUUCAAUUUUCAGUUACUUUUACUCCUUUUUAAAGCAGCCAGAGACAGUAGAAACAAUGUAUUUCUCUUGUUUAACUAGCUGUCAAUGAACGUUCUAAACGCUGUCAAUGAACAUUCCAAAAGACGUCAGUCCUGCUAGCAGCCCAUUUCCAGGGUCGGAGCAGCGGUGUUUUAAAUCUCUCCGCUCUCUCCCACAAGCAUACUCAAUCCGCACCUUCCCCCUCUCUUCUCCUGCCUCCAAGAGGGGGUUUAAUGUUCUUUACCGAUGGAAUUUUAAUCUUUUACAAAAGGCUUUCCAGGACUCCAGCUUGCAACUUCAUUGCCUCAGUCUAUUUACAAAAGGGGAAGGCGGACUUCCUGUUUUGAACCUCCCCGUUACGGUACCAAAUUAAACAUUUAGAAAUCCAAUUCUUCCACUUCAGCUCUACUCACGGGUAAUUACUUUAAAGUCAAAUUGUCCACAGGAAAAGGUCAGUGCUCUCCAGCAACAGCUAUGCGGCUUCGCUCCGUGGAAGAAGCAGACGAUUCGAUGCACCGCGCCGCUCACCCCACGUCGCUCCGGAUCCCCCAAAACCGGGGUUCCCCGUGAGUGGGGGAGGCGCAAAAGGUGCCCGCCGAAUCCCACGCUCACAGGCUUCUCCCGCCUGUGAUUUUAACGGGUCUCCGCCUUCGCCAUGGCGGCCAGACCCAGAUUCCCACGGAGCAGAUUCCUCCCAGUCAGAGGAAUUCCGCCAUUACCGGAGGCACCUCCCCGGAAGUCCAGGAAGUUCUACUCUUCUUCCUUAUGUACACUGUUGGGUACAUCCUAGUAGUAGUAACACUAGUAGUAGCAGUAUGCUGCACAUCAGUAGAACCAUGUGCACCAUGGAGUAAGCUACACUGAACACAUCAGGACAUAUGCAUAAUGGAAUAUGCAGAAAUGCAUGGUGUUGCCCCCACACCUUCAAAGAAAACUCAAGAGACAAAUGUUUCCCUGAAAUGCACAUGUUGGGCCUCAGUCUCACCAGGCACAAUGUACUGGGAAGUCCCAAAUGGGUCCCCUUUAUCCAGUAAUGCCUCAGUAUACCUAAUGUUUCUCUUCCCAACUUCCUCACCUGCCCAGACUCAUGGCCCAAAGAACAACCAAGUCAUACCACUUCCAACUGUCAAUCUAAUUCUAUCAAGCAAUGUGAAAUUGGCCAAGGAGGAGAAAAUCCUACUCAGCCCCUUCUAGCAGGCAACUAGCAAAAGCCCACACUGCAUAUAGGUAGGAAGGAUGGGUACAGCAAAAGCAUAAGGAUGAGCUCAGAAAGGAGCUGGCUUAUAGAGCCACACUUACCCCACUCCCAGUGGGCCAUCAGAACCCACUUGGUCUUCUCAACCCCCUGGCUUUAAGAACCACUCUUACAACUCCUUUUUGAGAAAGGUGGUGGAGCCAACAUGCCCCUGCUAUAAGUAGGGGUGGGUUAUAUUAUUAAUCCCUCAUUUGAAUGCAUGGGGUUUGGGUCUAACUAUCCAGUUAGUCGUAUCACGUGUGAUCAACAAAGAUGGAAAUGCAGAGUGUGUUCCACCAAUUUAUCUCUUCAUCUCUCUUUUUAACUAUAAGAGAUCUGAUUCACUGUGAUUUGUGCUGGUUUUCCAAAAGUACCUCCUGAAAGGGUCAGUUGGUGUUACAGCAUACGGAAACAAAACCUAAUCAUAUGUGUGAUAACCAUGCACUUUGAAGAACAGGUUGACGGGAGUCUCAUUUGAAUUUAACCACAAUAAAGUUACAAAAAUAAUGGAAAUGUCCUUGAGAUAAUAUAGGACAACAGUCUAAAGAAAUGCAUUUAUAUAACAGUACUUCAUCAAAGGGAGUUGACAGCACAGUAUAAAUGGAAGGUUUACAUGUUCAAACUGCAAUAAAAGGUCAUGUGACAGCAAACAAAUAGGGCAGCUCUUUAAAAAAAGAGUUGGUGUGCAUUAAAUCUUUUCAGCGAUCUAUUAUUGCUCAGGAAUCCUGGUAAUAUACAAUACACUGGGAAAGUAAGUCAUCACCCAGUAUCAGUUCUUUAUACAAUGGUACCUCAGGUUACAUACACUUCAGGUUACAUAUGCUUCAGGUUACAUACUCUGCUAACCCAGAAAUAGUGCUUCAGGUUGAGAACAGAAAUCGUGCUCCGGCGGCACGGCAGCAGGAGGAGGCCCCAUUAGCUAAAGUGGUACCUCAGGUUAAGAACAGUUUCAGGUUAAGUACAGACCUUCCUGAACGAAUUAAGUACUUAACCCAAGGUACCACUGUAUUCCAUUUCAUAGUCUACUGUGGGUUUGUGAUUAUGCUGAAAUAAAGGGUUCUGGGCAAAUCGUUUCUUCUUGAUAUGGACUGCAACUGCUGAGCUCACUGGGGAAAAUGAGCAUAUAAUUUCCGUGCUAUUUUAAAUCGUACCGGAGCUAAGUGGAAUUAAUAUAGUUCAUUUAUUUUGCAACACAUUGAUUAACUGGCAAUUAGAAGUUGACAACUAAUUCUCUUUUAUGAAGCAACAAAGGUGAAUUUACCUCUCUUGCUAAGCUUUCAUAGUGAGCCAAUGUCUGCCUUCGCAUAGGUUGCCAAGACCAUGUUGCCUCGCCUCCUAGUGCUGAAUUUGGCGCUGGGAGCUCAUAAAAGAAAAAUCUACAAAUAGAGCUCUGACAUCCUGGUUUAUGACACAGCCUCCGGAUGAAAUGUAGCUUUCUUAUUAUGAGGAAAUAACCCAGUUGAAAGUUUGUUACAUUUAAAAGUGGUACAGACACAGAUCGUGAUGAGUUUGGCAUCCCCAUUCACUUCCACAAACAGCAGCUGAAUCCUAUAGUCUUCGUGGAAGAUGAAGCUCAAAUCUUCAUGGCACUCCAAAGGAGAGAACCAUUUUUUCCAAAAAGACUGAACUACUGAGUAGCAUCAUAGUGCGUCUUUUUUUGUCAAAACUGAUAAUUGGCUCUUACUCUACUAUAUUGCUGGAUUCUGUGGAUAGGCUACAUUACAGCUGCAAUAUAAUGAGGACGCAUUCCACUGGGAAGUUCUGCAAGAGCCCCAUUGCUCUUGCACAGCUCAUAUUCAUUCCUUUCAACAAAACUUCAGCAGUAAUGUUUCUUGCUCUAUGUUUUUAAGUCGUCAUGAAGCUGAAAAUACUCAGCUGAAAGCAUCCUGGCUUUCGAUAUUCUGGGGAACCAGAUGGCUGCCUUUCUACUCAAGGAACUGUACAAUCAUAAAGUAUCUACUGGGGUCAAGAAGGCCCAUCCUAAUUUGGUGGUGCGUAUAUUGGCUGCACCAUCUACACAAGAAUGAGGAUGUGCUCUUGUCCUGGAAAGCACUCUUGCAUAAAUCUGAAGUGCACCUAAUUACAACCAACAAGAAAUGCACUGGAUGAGAGGAAGGUAAUGGAUACCAGAAUGUCUCUCAAGGCAGCUGUUAGGGUUUCUUUCAGUUAAUGGCAUUUUGCUGUUCUUCUCCCUGAGUGCUUUAGGAUGCUAUUUAUUUUUCUAGGUUAGUGGGUAGGAACCAUGCAAACAGCAUAUAAAUAAGAAGGCUUUCGUCAUUUGGAUGUCAUUGUUUUUUCAUGUCCACAUUUGGAUUUUUCCUUAAACAGGGACUGUUUCUCAAAUUGUGCAUGUACAGGGAGAGACCCAACAAGAGUUAUAAAAGAAAUCAAACUUUCAGAGUAAAAGUUGUUUGAAAACGAAGAAGCUUUUCCAGCUGUUAUAUUGCAUCUAGUUCCCUAAUAUUUAUUUCAAAUGACAUAAAAAGAUGCACUUUAUAUGCAUUCAGGAGAAAAGAAUACAUUUUACUACUUGCGUAUGCAAUGAAUAAUUUAACUUGUACAUAUAAUUCAAAUCAAAACAAUUGCAGGAGCCAUUUGAAGGGAAGAUGUGAAAUUUAAUCUAGAAAUGUGGGAGUUUACUAUAGAUCCCCAAGCCAAACAGAGGACAUAGAUGAUGCCUUCCUGGAACAGAUGGCCAAGCAUGCAAAAGGAAGGGAGAUAGUAGUAAUGGGGGACUUCAAUUACCUGGAUAUUUGUUGGAUGUCAAACUCAGCCAAGAGCAUAAGGUCAAACAGAUUCCUCACUGGCCUUGCAGACAACUUCAUUGUCCAGAAAGUGGGAGAAGCAACAAGAGGAACAGCCAUUUUAGAUCUGGUCCUAACCAAUGUUGAUGACCUGGUUAGUGGGGUAGAAGUGGAAGGAUCAUUAGGCGCGAGUGAUCAUGCUCUUCUGAAGUUUACUAUACAGCGGAAAGGAGCAGCCAAGCAUACUAGGACUCAAUUUCUUGACUUUAAGAAAGCCGACUUCAUAAAACUUAGGGAAGUGCUGGGUGAGAUCCCAUGGACAGUAAUACUAAAAGGAAAGGGAGUUCAUGAUGGCUGGCAGUUUGUUAAGAGGGAGAUAGUAAAAGCACAAUGUCAGGCAAUACCAAUGAGACAUAAACAUGGAAGGUGCCUAAAGAAGCCAGGGUGGCUAUCUAAAGAACUUUUAACUGAGUUAAGAUUAAAAAGGAUGUGUACAAAAAUGGAAAAGGGGGAAACCACCAAAGAGGAAUUCAAACAAAUAGCCAGCACGUGUAGACACAAAGUC